GGCGGCAGGCCUAACACAUGCAAGGCGAGCGGUAGCACAGAGAGCUUGCUCUCGGGUGACGAGCGGCGGACGGGUGAGUAAUGUCUGGGAAACUGCCUGAUGGAGGGGGAUAACUACUGGAAACGGUAGCUAAUACCGCAUAACGUCGCAAGACCAAAGUGGGGGACCUUCGGGCCUCAUGCCAUCAGAUGUGCCCAGAUGGGAUUAGCUAGUAGGUGGGGUAACGGCUCACCUAGGCGACGAUCCCUAGCUGGUCUGAGAGGAUGACCAGCCACACUGGAACUGAGACACGGUCCAGACUCCUACGGGAGGCAGCAGUGGGGAAUAUUGCACAAUGGGCGCAAGCCUGAUGCAGCCAUGCCGCGUGUGUGAAGAAGGCCUUCGGGUUGUAAAGCACUUUCAGCGGGGAGGAAGGCGUUAAGGUUAAUAACCUUGGCGAUUGACGUUACCCGCAGAAGAAGCACCGGCUAACUCCGUGCCAGCAGCCGCGGUAAUACGGAGGGUGCAAGCGUUAAUCGGAAUUACUGGGCGUAAAGCGCACGCAGGCGGUCUGUCAAGUCGGAUGUGAAAUCCCCGGGCUCAACCUGGGAACUGCAUUCGAAACUGGCAGGCUAGAGUCUUGUAGAGGGGGGUAGAAUUCCAGGUGUAGCGGUGAAAUGCGUAGAGAUCUGGAGGAAUACCGGUGGCGAAGGCGGCCCCCUGGACAAAGACUGACGCUCAGGUGCGAAAGCGUGGGGAGCAAACAGGAUUAGAUACCCUGGUAGUCCACGCCGUAAACGAUGUCGAUUUGGAGGUUGUGCCCUUGAGGCGUGGCUUCCGGAGCUAACGCGUUAAAUCGACCGCCUGGGGAGUACGGCCGCAAGGUUAAAACUCAAAUGAAUUGACGGGGGCCCGCACAAGCGGUGGAGCAUGUGGUUUAAUUCGAUGCAACGCGAAGAACCUUACCUGGUCUUGACAUCCACAGAACUUUCCAGAGAUGGAUUGGUGCCUUCGGGAACUGUGAGACAGGUGCUGCAUGGCUGUCGUCAGCUCGUGUUGUGAAAUGUUGGGUUAAGUCCCGCAACGAGCGCAACCCUUAUCCUUUGUUGCCAGCGGUUCGGCCGGGAACUCAAAGGAGACUGCCAGUGAUAAACUGGAGGAAGGUGGGGAUGACGUCAAGUCAUCAUGGCCCUUACGACCAGGGCUACACACGUGCUACAAUGGCAUAUACAAAGAGAAGCGACCUCGCGAGAGCAAGCGGACCUCAUAAAGUAUGUCGUAGUCCGGAUUGGAGUCUGCAACUCGACUCCAUGAAGUCGGAAUCGCUAGUAAUCGUAGAUCAGAAUGCUACGGUGAAUACGUUCCCGGGCCUUGUACACACCGCCCGUCACACCAUGGGAGUGGGUUGCAAAAGAAGUAGGUAGCUUAACCUUCGGGAGGGCGCUUACCACUUUGUGAUUCAUGACUGGGGUGAA
rnacentral:rRNA from 1 species